AUUCUUCAGUCUUCUUAAUGGUUUUCUGGGGAAUUCUCUGAUUUCUCAUCAUUUCUUUCGAUUGGUGUGUUUCAGUUAAAAAGAGACGCAGAUGGAGAAGGAAGAGAAGAAUGAGAGGGGGGCGAGUAUGAUGACGACGCCACCGGAAACAGAAUUCUUCUUGCAGUGGGGUAACAGAAAAAGACUCCGAUGUGUGAGAAUCAGAAGCAACACUAGUCCCCCUUACCACCACCACCACCACCACCACCUUUCAUCCUCUUCUGCUUCUGACCUCUCUUCUGCCACCACUGCUUCUACUAGAAUUCGCCGCAGAAUCACUUCUUCUAGAUUCCUUUCUGUCUCGUCCCAUGAUGAAAAGCAAUCAUCUUUUACUCAACCGCCCUCUCGCCUCACAAGGUAUUGUUUACAUCUCUUUUUUUUUUUACUGACAAAAUUCAAACAUUCCGGAUGAGUGCAGAGAAUUUUGGAGCAAAUCCUAUAGAAGGGGAUGACAAAAAAAAAGAGAAGCUUUUUCUUGUGAAUCUUUGGGGUGGGUUUGGAAAAUUAAGGCCAAUUGAAUUCUUAGUCUAAUGGAAAAUUUCAGUGGAAAUGUAAAAUCUUGCAUGUUCGAUGAGUUUUCAAUUUUGGGGGGGCAGGGGGUUUCAUUUUUCUUUUUUGAUAGAAGAAAAAAGGAAAGGAAAAAGAAGGGGCCUGAGACAUGGGUAGUAUUUGAUCUGGUGUCUUGUGUUACGAAACAGGAAUUCAGCAGAGCCGGCAGUGACGCUGAGAUCGGAGAGCCACCGGAGGGUGUCGCCGGAGGAGGAUAGGUCUUACACGACGAGAGGAUCAGUGCAAGUGGUGGGGAAUUUGGAGGACAAUUAUGGUGGGAAGGUCAAUCAUCUAGUAGUGGACGGCCAUGGCGGUGCUGGUGCAGCAGGAAUUUCUGGUGGGGAUGGCCAUAACAACAAUAAUAGUAUUAAUGGUCAUAACAACAGCAGCAGCAGAGGAGGAGCAGCGGUAGCUCCGGUAUGGCCAAAGCUUUAUGUUGCUCUGUCGAGCAAAGAAAAAGAAGAAGACUUUAUGGCCAUGAAAGGUUGUAAACUUCCUCAGAGGCCUAAGAAGAGGGCAAAAGUCAUCCAAAGAACUCUACUUGUAAGCCCCCCCCUUUUUUUUUUUUUUUGAAAAAAUUAUAUAUAUUUUAAAAAAUUGUUCCCUUUUACAGCUACAUAAUUUGGUUUGGUUUGGUUAAAAGAAGGAACUCUUUUGAUGGUUGACCUUUUUCUUACAUGGUUGGUUGAGCAGUUGGUGAGCCCAGGAGCCUGGUUAACGGACAUGUCCUUGGAGAGGUAUGAGGUCCGGGAGAAGAAGAUUUCUAAGAAGGUACGAUUGCUACUCUGUCUCUUUCCCUUUCACUGUUUUGGUUGGGUUCCCUUUAGGACAGAUUGGGAGAAACGGAGGAGGGAUGAUGGCGGGAGGAUAAGGGAUGAGGGACUUGUAGUUAUGGCGGCGGCGGCGGCUGGGGGCGUUUGGAAGAUUAGGACACGAGGAAAGAACUGUUUUUUUUUUUAACUUUAAAAUGGUAACUGGCCUGUGGACUGGGGCAUGGUUGGAACUUAAAUGGGAUCUUUUUCUUUUUCCCCACCUCUCGUGUGGCUGAAAAAGGAAAAGAGCGCAAUAUAUGGGGUGAUAUGAUAUGAUUACGAGGUGACCAUUUAAGCCUCGGAUUGGUAGGAAGAGAUGAUUACUAGUACUGUAGUUAUAUGCUAUAUUGCUUUUGUUGAUUUGGGGUACAUGUGUUGCUUGUUGAUGCAGAGGCCAAGAGGAUUGAAGGCCAUGGGCAACGUUGAAAGCGAUUCAGAUUGAUUGAAUGGAGGAGACGAGGAGAUAGAUGAGGAGGAAGGAGCCUGUUUCUGCAAUUCAGAAGCUGAGCUUCCUUGAUUAACCUGAAAAUUUUUUGGUUCUUUGUUGUUUGUCGGCCGGCGGUGUGGAUUGGCCUUUGGUCGGGUGAGAGCCCUGACCUGGACUCUGCG
rnacentral:lncRNA from 1 species